UACGUAGGGUGCAAGCGUUAAUCGGAAUUACUGGGCGUAAAGCGUGCGCAGGCGGUUUUGUAAGUCUGUCGUGAAAGCCCCGGGCUCAACCUGGGAAUUGCGAUGGAGACUGCAAGGCUUGAAUCUGGCAGAGGGGGGUAGAAUUCCACGUGUAGCAGUGAAAUGCGUAGAGAUGUGGAGGAACACCGAUGGCGAAGGCAGCCCCCCUGGGUCAAGAUUGACGCUCAUGCACGAAAGCGUGGGGAGCGAUCCGG
rnacentral:rRNA from 1 species